rnacentral:lncRNA from 1 species
UUUGUCUGCAACGAGCCAGACCUCACCUCUGGCUGGUCCAUAACAUGACACAGAUCAUGCUGAGCAUUGGUCAAAGCUGGGCUGCGUGGAGGUUCCCUGGAGCACGUCCAACCUGCGCUCAGGCCCUACAGCUUGGUGGUCUUCUCCAGCCAGGACAGGCAAUGCUCCUUACACUCUGGGCUAGUGCCCUAUGGCCACUCCUACCCUCCCUGCUCUGGCCAUCUCCUCUGACUGAGGGGGCAACAUUUCAGACAGAAAGAAAUGUGGGUCUUCUCCUCGCCCCCUGUUCAUACAGGUCACCAGGCACAGGACACUCAGACUUGGAUUGUUCCUGAGUUUUUACUGUGGCCAUGGAGUCUGUACAGGAUUUUGAGCAGCACCCGGAAGAAUGAGGAAAGUUUUCUUAUAUCAUCUACCAUGAACAGGGGAAGAAACCCACCUGGAAAGGCAUCACAGCUUUGCCCAGUCUGCUCAGUUUGCAUACGCCUGACAGCCUGAGAGUUGAUUAUGACUGUUGAUUGGUAGGGCCCCUUAGGACCACCAAAUUCUAGUCCCCUGAAGGGUAGAGUCCCAGUGGCUUACGGGCUUUUGAUAGAUGCUGUUGAAUGACCAAGCUACCUUCACAUCCCAUUCACCUAUUUACCGUUUUGAUGAUAAUUUCUUGAAAGUGCGGCUCUGGAGCGGGGAUUCACGCUCUCCUGGUGGAUUCUGCUCCAACUGCCUGGUGCUGCCUGGGAAGCGCUGUCUUUGUGGCCUCUAGCUUUUGGGGCUGGGUUAGUGUCUUCUCCCCAGCUAUGCUUGGCCGUUUACCUCUGGAAGUCUGAGUGUGUCCCUUCUCUAUUUGAUCCAGACCCUGGGAAAUAUUCCUGGCAAAAGGGGCAGCCGGCUUGCCAGCCGUGAUGGGAAGGACUCCAGGAUUUUAGGAACAAUUCUUUGCCCAUAUGAUUCACUCUGCUCAGGGACAGAUGUCACCUUGGAAGGGAAAUGGCUUUUUUCAUUUUCAGGCUCACCUGGUGAAAUCUGUAAAGUGAAACUGCUGGGGCAGGAUAAUCUUCAGGGAGAUGUGCUGGGGUGUCUUUUCCUGGGGUAUUUCUGGUGUUGUGUAAUCUAUGCUAAUGAGUUAAUUUUGAAAAACUUAAGAAUGACGACAAGAAGAUUAUUGGUUGUACUCAUGAAGCUGUAGAACUCUCCUUGAAAAGAAAAGCAGCACAUUUUCUCCAGAGUCACCAAGCUUUCUGCCUUUCUUUACCAAUUAAGCAACUUAAAAGCUAUAAACCUUGUUGAUUCUUCAGGGAAAUAGCAACACGCAGAAAACACCGCACCCGGUGGCUUAGCGCAUACAUUGCUUACUUUGUUCUUGUUCAUUCUAUUUUUAGUUUUAUUAUAGGCUUUUUGAAUCACAUUUACAUAUUUGUUAAUUUAAGUCAUCUGAACAUUGGGAUUACUUAAUAUGCCUUAAGCCUAAUAGUAAUUACUGUAAAUUCUUGAAAAUAAUAAAAUUGCCUGCU